AACGCUAGCUACAGGCUUAACACAUGCAAGUCGCGGGGUAACGAGAGGGAAGCUUGCUUUCCUUGUCGACGACCGGCGCACGGGUGAGUAACGCGUAUCCAACCUGCCCAUUACCACGGGAUACCCCGUCGAAAGGCGGCCUAAUACCGUAUGCAGUCGUCAGAUGACAUCAGAGGACGACGAAAGGAUUGGCGGUAAUGGAUGGGGAUGCGUCUGAUUAGGUAGUUGGAGGGGUAACGGCCCACCAAGCCAUCGAUCAGUAGGGGUUCUGAGAGGAAGGUCCCCCACAUUGGAACUGAGACACGGUCCAAACUCCUACGGGAGGCAGCAGUGAGGAAUAUUGGUCAAUGGGCGCGAGCCUGAACCAGCCAAGUAGCGUGAGGGAUGACGGCCCUAUGGGUUGUAAACCUCUUUUAUGCGGGAAUAAAAUGUUUGACGUGUCAUACAUUGUAGGUACCGCAAGAAUAAGGACCGGCUAAUUCCGUGCCAGCAGCCGCGGUAAUACGGAAGGUCCAGGCGUUAUCCGGAUUUAUUGGGUUUAAAGGGAGCGUAGGCCGCAAGUCAAGCGUGUUGUGAAAUGCAGGGGCUCAACCUCUGGAUUGCAGCGCGAACUGGCAUGCUUGAGUACGCACGAGGUAGGCGGAAUUCGUGGUGUAGCGGUGAAAUGCUUAGAUAUCACGAAGAACUCCGAUUG
rnacentral:rRNA from 1 species